AUUGAACGCUGGCGGCAUGCCUUACACAUGCAAGUCGAACGGCAGCACGGGAGCAAUCCUGGUGGCGAGUGGCGAACGGGUGAGUAAUAUAUCGGAACGUGCCCAGUCGUGGGGGAUAACGCAGCGAAAGCUGUGCUAAUACCGCAUACGAUCUCUGGAUGAAAGCGGGGGACUCGCAAGAGCCUCGCGCGAUUGGAGCGGCCGAUAUCAGAUUAGCUAGUUGGUGAGGUAAAGGCUCACCAAGGCGACGAUCCGUAGCUGGUCUGAGAGGAUGAUCAGCCACACCGGAACUGAGACACGGUCCGGACACCUACGGGAGGCUG
rnacentral:rRNA from 1 species